AAAUGGUUGAAAAAAAAAAAAAAAAAACAACAACAAAUAAAAAAGAAACACAUCAACUCCAACCAAUGUUUGCCUUGUGGAUCUUCUCUCUCCUUUU
rnacentral:ribozyme from 14 species